GAGACCCUGUCUCAAAAUGAAAAAUAAAAAUUGCUGAGGGUAUAACUCAGUGGUACAGCACUGCCAGGUUCAAUCCCACAUAGUACAAACAAAAACAACAAUAAAAAUAACAAAAUGCGAAUUGAAUUGUUUUAGACCAUAGGCCAGUUGAUAUAUUUGCAAUGAGGGAAAAAUGCAUAUUAUAAGUAAGGUGUUGUUAUUUUUCUGCUUUCAAGAACUUAAAUAACAUCCCUGAAGCAAUAUGGUAGUGUAAGGUUGCCUGUCAUCCUUUCUUAGGAAGGACUGGCAGUCUGAGCUUUGAUCCUUCCUCAUUUCUAGUCUUUUGUGAAACAUUAUUGAAGAUUUAUUGCAACUUUCUUGUUUUUAAUAAAAUAAAAGAGAACCUGGAGGUUCCUGGAAGUUUUAUCAUUUUAUUUGACUCAUCUGUGAAAUUUUGAAAUCUUGGGUCCCUGACCUGGAAGACGAGUGCACACCCACUCAGAGAACAAGAAGGUUCCAACUCGCCUGUGCCGUCAGCCCCAGCAGCUCCGACCAGUCACUGCGCUUCUCAGGGCCCUGAAUUCCUCACCUGUGAAGGAGGAACUGACCCAGGUUGUCCCUGAGGUGCGGUGGCACCCUUUGACACACCAUGGUGAUGGCAGAGGACUGGGAUUGAACCCAGGGCCUGGUGCUUGCUGUGCAAGUGUAGCUCCUUUGAGAUAUCCGGUAGCCACGUGGACCUGUUACUGGUGAUAACACUGCUGUAACCGUGACAUCGUCCCCUCCUGAGAGCUGGUCCAAAGUCACCAGGGGCAUGCACCCUGAGCUCUGCAGAGUCCCAGCACAGUGCCAUGUCCACUGAAGGCACGUGUCAGGCAGAACGACUGAUAGUCCUCCACAUGGAGAAGACGGAUCCCCACCACCAGCACCUGGACGUCACUUCCUGUCGUUCCCAUAUGCUCUACCCUGGGCUCUCAUGUUAUCCCUGGGUCAGAGCAGAACCAGGCUGCAGCUUGAGAAGAUGUGGUUGAGGAGCAUCGGUUAGCUCUGCAGUGGAUGGAGACCAUGCUGACCCUCCUGUCACAGAGGGACACUCUUGAGAAGCCAGGGAACAAGACACUCUUAGAAGCACUCGGCUGUCAAAAUCACAAGGAAGGUUUUGUUAUGACUAUUGGAAAAAGCAGGCCAGUAUUUAAACUGGGCUGCAGCAAUUGUGGCUGUAAUUGUAACCAGCCUUCCAACGCUGCUUGGUGCUCCUCUCCUGUCUGUCAGACGGGCUUUCCAGAGGGUCUCUGAGCUCCCUAAGUGAAGUCAUGUGCAUUGGUUCUGUUACAUGGAGGUCCUGGCGGCUUCUAAGAAGGUGUCUCAUGUCACACAUCUUUCGAGAGCAGACUCUCCCAAGUCCUGCAGAGAGUGGUAGAACGUUUUUUCCCAUCCAUAGACAUUUGCUUUUAUGAAGAAAGUCAGGGUUAAGUAAAUAAAAUUCCACUUCUUCCCGCACCUGCUGUGGCUGCCAUGGAAGUAUUCUGGUGCCUUCAGAGACGGGAUGCAGCCAUUGUUGCUAUCAGCACUAGGAGCCGAAGCCAGGCUGCUGCACCCCUCCUGGGAGGCCAGUAGGGAGGCGAGGGGGCUUACGAGUAGAGUGGACAACAGGUGAGCAGAGGGGGACUUGAGGGCUGAAUGAUUGACUCCUGGAAAAGCCCAGGGCUCAGGUGGGUACCUCUAGUGCUCCAUCAAGUGCAGAGUGGAGCAUGGUUAGCAGGCGUGCAGUGGGCCCCGGCUGGGGUUCUGUACAUGGGCUUGCAAGGGGACAGACAGGCCUCCUGGUGUCCUGAGAUGUGCAGGGUGCCCAGGGCUGCCCAGGCAGUCCGAUGCAGGGCAGACACUGUUGUACGUAGACACGCACACCCUCCUUCAGGGGCCAGCAGUUUCCUCUCCAGUCUCCUACUUGAGAUCAACUUGGAAAGAAAAAGAAGCCGGCACCCUCCCACUUCCUGGGAACUUGUGUAUGUGAGUCUUUCCUGCUCCCUCUUCUCUUGAGCCAUGUCUCUGUUGCUUUUGUCACCCUCCGUCACCCUUGUGCCCAGUUUAAGCUUUAGCAUUCACUCCUUGUGUGUGUGUUUUUAGGGUGUGGACCGUUUUCUUUAUAAUCAUAAUUAUAAGCCACUCCAGGAAAGGGAAAUCACGCAGCAGCAGCAGCAGGAGUCUUUGGCUGAGGGAGGUGGCAGAGUGGAUGCCACCUACACAGUCCCUGCCUGAGAUCCUUCUCAGCUCUGCUCCUGCCUGUUCCCUUCGCUCAGGCAUGCAGGCUCCUGCACCAGCCCCACCCUGCCAUCGUUCCAUCUAGACCUGUCUGGGGAUACCAGUCCCUGGCCAUGGGCUCUGGUGGGUGCACCCACACCUGGGCCAGAGGCAGUGGCAGGAUGGGAGGGCUCACCUCCCAGGUAGAGGGGCAUGUGAUGCCCACAGGAAGCUCGGAGCCCGAGCCCCAGGGGAAGACCAUGCCAGCUGUGUUACCUAGCUUGGUGUUCAUGUCCCCAUGCCUUGCCUGCUCACUGCGGAUUUCCCCAGAGGCCCAGAGGGAUGGUGGACACAGCCAGCUGAGGUGACGUGUGUGUCCACGGGUUACUGUCAGAUGCUCUAUACAAAGGGGGCCAGGGUGCAGUGUGUACAGAGCAUGAACUUGGUGCCUGUGAAAGGGUGAUGCCAGCCCUGGAGCUGCAGGGGCCUGGAACGUUGCAGUGUGUGUGAACAGAAGUGAUGUGAGAACACAGGCAGGUUGCCCUUGUCUCAGGCGCUGCCGCUGAGCACAGCCCUGGCAGACGCGGGCUCUGUUGGCAUUACUUACUGUGACAGUUGCUGUGUCUACCGAGCACUUGAAACGCUGCUGGUGAGAACUGAAUUAAAGAAUGGAAUUUUUUUUUUUUUUUAAGUGGUGCUUCAUACCUGGUAAGUAAGUGCUCUACCAGGAGCCACAUCCCAGCCCUUUAGUUUUAAUUUAAAUUCAAACAGCCCCCUGUGGUGAAUGACUGAGGACUGGGUGGAGCAGCCACUACAAUGGCAUCCUGUGCAUCUUGUCUGCAAGCUCACUGUGGCCAGACCUUAGGGCACAGGUUCCUUGGGGAAAGUGACUUCCUCCAGAGCCCAGUAGCCUGCUGGGUAGAGCGCCAGAUGCCAGCAGUCCAUGAGAAGCUUCUUACUCCUUUUCUCUCUUUGUAAAAAUGUUUUGUCGGCAGUGCUCUUUCUCUGAUGGUGAGGUGGACAAGGCCUGAGAACCUACUAGAAAACAGCAGGGCUCUGCAUUUCCAUACAGACCCAGUGUGUGCUGGUUCCUGCCUUGACCACAGCCUGGCACCAGGGCCCCGCCCUCAGCGCACUUGGACAGUCUGGACAUGCCCCUGCAUGCCCAGUGCCAGGCUGCCUCGUGUGCAGCGGGACACCUCUGGGAGCUUCAGCAAGUGCCAGAGGCUGUGCCGUGAGGCAGACCCCUGCUGGAGGAAGGUCACCGCGGGGAGGGUGGACAGAGGGGAGCAGGAAGGGUGAGGACUUCUCAGUGUCUGGACCGAGCAGCUGGGUGCCA